rnacentral:rRNA from 1 species
GGUGGGGCGAUUUGUCUGGUUUAUUCCGAUAACGAACGAGACUCUGGCCUACUAACUAGUGACAGAAUUAUUGCUGUUCUGGUUACUUCUUAGAGGGACAAAUGGUGUUCAGCCACACGAAAUUGAGCAAUAACAGGUCUGCGAUGCCCUUAGAUGUCCGGGGCUGCACGCGUGCUACACUGGAGGAAACAGCAUGCAAAACCAUUGCCGAGAGGCAUUGGUAAACCCAAGAAAAUCUUCCGUGAUCGGGAUCGGGAAUUGCAAUUAUUUCUCUUGAACGAGGAAUUCCCAGUAAGUGUGGGUCAUCAGCUUGCGCUGAAUACGUCCCUGCCCUUUGUAC